GGUAGCAAUACUGGGUGGCGACCGGCAAACGGGUGCGGAACACGUACGCAACCUUCCUUUAACUGGAGAAUAGCCCGGGGAAACCCGGAUUAAUACUCCGUAACAUUAUGAAGUGGCAUCACUUUAUAAUUAUAGCUCCGGCGGUUGAAGAUGGGCGUGCGUCUGAUUAGGUAGUUGGCGGGGUAACGGCCCACCAAGCCUACGAUCAGUAACUGGUGUGAGAGCACGACCAGUCACACGGGCACUGAGACACGGGCCCGACUCCUACGGGAGGCAGCAGUAAGGAAUAUUGGUCAAUGGACGCAAGUCUGAACCAGCCAUGCCGCGUGGAGGAUGAAGGUCCUCUGGAUUGUAAACUUCUUUUAUUUGGGAAGAAACCACCGAUUUCUAUUGGUGUUGACGGUACCAGAUGAAUAAGCACCGGCUAACUCCGUGCCAGCAGCCGCGGUAAUACGGAGGGUGCAAGCGUUAUCCGGAUUCACUGGGUUUAAAGGGUGCGUAGGCGGGUUGGUAAGUCCGUGGUGAAAUCUCCAAGCUUAACUUGGAAACUGCCGUGGAUACUAUCAAUCUUGAAUAUAGUGGAGGUGAGCGGAAUAUGUCAUGUAGCGGUGAAAUGCUUAGAUAUGACAUAGAACACCCAUUGCGAAGGCAGCUCGCUACACUAUUAUUGACGCUGAGGCACGAAAGCGUGGGGAUCAAACAGGAUUAGAUACCCUGGUAGUCCACGCCCUAAACGAUGAUUACUCGACAUCAGCGAUACACUGUUGGUGUCUGAGCGAAAGCAUUAAGUAAUCCACCUGGGAAGUACGA
rnacentral:rRNA from 1 species